rnacentral:rRNA from 1 species
CUGCCGCGUGCGGGAAGAAGGCCUUCGGGUUGUAAACCGCUUUUGUCAGGGAAGAAACGGCUCGCGCUUAUACCGCGGGCUAAUGACGGUACCUGAAGAAUAAGCACCGGCUAACUACGUGCCAGCAGCCGCGGUAAUACGUAGGGUGCGAGCGUUAAUCGGAAUUACUGGGCGUAAAGCGUGCGCAGGCGGUUGUGCAAGACAGAUGUGAAAUCCCCGGGCUUAACCUGGGAACUGCAUUUGUGACUGUACGGCUAGAGUGCGGCAGAGGGGGGAUGGAAUUCCGCGUGUAGCAGUGAAAUGCGUAGAUAUGCGGAGGAACACCGAUGGCGAAGGCAAUCCCCUGGGCCUGCACUGACGCUCAUGCACGAAAGCGUGGGGAGCAAACAGGAUUAGAUACCCUGGUAGUCCACGCCCUAAACGAUGUCAACUGGUUGUUGGGAAGGUUCCUUCUCAGUAACGUAGCUAACGCGUGAAGUUGACCGCCUGGGGAGUACGGCCGCAAGGUUG